rnacentral:rRNA from 1 species
UACGGAGGGUGCGAGCGUUAUCCGGAAUUACUGGGUUUAAAGGGUGCGUAGGCGGCUUGGUAAGUCAGGAGUGAAAGUUUGCGGCUCAACCGUAAAAUUGCUUUUGAUACUGCCAGGCUAGAAUUAGGAUGAGGACAGCGGAAUGUAGCAUGUAGCGGUGAAAUGCAUAGAUAUGCCAUAGAACACCAAUUGCGAAGGCAGCUGGCUAGACCUGUAUUGACGCUGAGGCACGAAAGCGUGGGGAGCGAACAGG